rnacentral:ncRNA from 2 species
AAUUUCCGCAAGGGGAGCCAUUAUGGCUGAGAGUGAGCUUUUUUAGUUCAGACCCUUUGAACCUGUAAGUUAAUGCUUACGCAGGGAUGUGGAUGGAAACAGGC